ACGGAAGGCAGCAGUGGGGAAUAUUGCACAAUGGGGGAAACCCUGAUGCAGCGACGCCGCGUGAGUGAAGAAGUUAUUCGUAAUGUAAAGCUCUAUCAGCAGGGAAGAAAAUGACGGUACCUGACUAAGAAGCCCCGGCUAACUACGUGCCAGCAGCCGCGGUAAUACGUAGGGGGCAAGCGUUAUCCGGAUUUACUGGGUGUAAAGGGAGCGUAGACGGUCUGGCAAGUCUGAUGUGAAAGGCAGGGGCUCAACUCCUGGACUGCAUUGGAAACUGUCAGUCUUGAGUGUCGGAGAGGUAAGCGGAAUUCCUAGUGUAGCGGUGAAAUGCGUAUAUAUUAGGAGGAACACCAGUGGCGAAGGCGGCUUACUGGACGAUAACUGACGUUGAGGCUCGAAAGCGUGGGGAGCAAACAGGAUUAGAUACCCUGGUA
rnacentral:rRNA from 1 species